rnacentral:rRNA from 1 species
UCCAGACUCCUACGGGAGGCAGCAGUGGGGCCUCUUGCACAAUGGGGGCCACACUGAUGCAGCGCCGCCGCGUGAGCGAAGAAGUAUUUCGGUAUGUAAAGCUCUCUCAGCAGGGAAGAAAAAAUGACGGUCCCUGACUAAGAAGCACCGGCUAAAUACGUGCCAGCAGCCGCGGUAAUACGUAUGGUGCAAGCGUUAUCCGGAUUUACUGGGUGUAAAGGGAGCGCAGGCGGUACGGCAAGUCUGAUGUGAAAGCCCGUGGCUCAACCCCGGUACUGCAUUGGAAACUGUCGGACUAGAGUGUCGGAGGGGUAAGUGGAAUUCCUAGUGUAGCGGUGAAAUGCGUAGAUAUUAGGAGGAACACCAGUGGCGAAGGCGGCUUACUGGACGAUUACUGACGCUGAGGCUCGAAAGCGUGGGGAGCAAACAGGAUUAGAUACCCUAGUACAC